rnacentral:lncRNA from 1 species
AUGGGAGCAAAAUGGGAAUCUCAAAGGACCCACGGCCAAAGCACCAAAUUUGUGACGGAACCGCGGCCCCUCCUUCCCACUGACCAUCAUAUUCAACGUGAAGUCGUGAAGACCAAACACUGCUGUAAUGUUUCAGAGUAUCAUUUGAUGAAAUUGUCUGAAUUUUCAACUGUCUACAGAGAGCCUUCUGGGUACCAGGUACUAAACUAAAUGUUCCAGAGACAGAGACCACCACCAGCACCUACGAAAGAUCUUGAGAUGCUGCAGUGGCUUCCUGAACAAUCACCGUGUACCCCAUCCUCAUCAGCACUCUGCAGUGGUGUGGGAACCCCACAGCACCCCGAUGCAAUAGCCAUCAUGGUUGUUCACCAUGGUGUACAGAGGUGGGGGACAGAAGGAGGAGAGACCUGAAGCCAGCUAAGUCUGGCUCCAGACUCCUGGCGCUUAACCAAUAAACAUACUGCCUCUCUUAAGAUUAAAAUAACU